rnacentral:rRNA from 1 species
GACGAACGCUGGCGGCGUGCUUAACACAUGCAAGUCGAACGGUAAGGCCCUUCGGGGUACACGAGUGGCGAACGGGUGAGUAACACGUGGGUGAUCUGCCCUGCACUUCGGGAUAAGCCUGGGAAACUGGGUCUAAUACCGGAUAGGACCACUGCCUGCAUGGGUGGUGGUGGCAAGCUUUUGCGGUGUGGGAUGGGCCCGCGACCUAUCAGCUUGGUGGUGGGGUGAUGGCCUACCAAGGCGACGACGGGUAGCCGGCCUGGGAGGGGGACCGGCCAGACUUGGACUGAGAUACGGCCCAGACUCCUACGGGAGGCAGCAGUGGGGAAUAUUGCACGAUGGGCGCAAGCCUGAUGCAGCGACGCCGCGUGAGGGAUGACGGCCUUCGGGUUGUAAACCUCUUGCAGCACCGACGAAGCGCAAGUGACGGUAGGUGCAGAAGAAGGACCGGCCAACUACGUGCCAGCCGCCGCCGUAA